rnacentral:rRNA from 1 species
GACAGAGGCCCCGAGCGUUAGGCGGAAUCACUGGGCUUAAAGCGUGUGUAGGCGGGCCCGUAAGUGUCUUGUGAAAUCCCACGGCUCAACCGUGGAACUGCUGGGCAUACUGCGGGUCUUGGGCCAACUAGGGGCAGCCGGAACAAGCGGUGGAGCGGUGAAAUGCGUAGAUAUCGCUUGGAACGCCGAAGGUGAAAACAGGCUGCUGGGGUUGCGCCGACGCUGAGACACGAAAGCCAGGGGAGCGAAUGGG